UACAGAGGGGGCAAGCGUUGUUCGGAAUUACUGGGCGUAAAGGGCGCGUAGGCGGCCUGUUAAGUCGAACGUGAAAUCCCCGGGCUCAACCCGGGAACUGCGUCCGAUACUGGCAGGCUUGAAUCCGGGAGAGGGAUGCGGAAUUCCAGGUGUAGCGGUGAAAUGCGUAGAUAUCUGGAGGAACACCGGUGGCGAAGGCGGCAUCCUGGACCGGCAUUGACGCUGAGGCGCGAAAGCAUGGGGAGCGAACAGG
rnacentral:rRNA from 1 species